UCUGAUUAUAUGUAAUGUAAGUUUGGGUAAUAAAUCAGUAUAAGAUUUUCUAAUGAUAUGUUGUAAUUAAAAGAAAAAGGGGGAAUUGUGGAUAGAUAGAAUGUAGGAGAAUAGAGAUAGUGGUGAAGGUAAUCUCACCCCUAAGGAGUUACAGCUGUGCUAAUUAUCCAGCAUUAAGAACAAGCCUGCCCUUAAUAGGCCACAGCUGGAUCCAAUUAGGAGGGGUAUUGUAAAAGAGCAGGUUGGCUGGUUGAGAUGUAAGGUGGAGUUUGUUGGCUGUGCAGAGGAGGAGAAGAAGGAGUCCAUGCUGAGAGGAGCUGCCCAUGAAAAUCUCCAAGAAGGUCCAGGAGUGGGAAACCUUGUCUCAGGUUCUGUAGGAUAUUUAUCACUAAUGUGAACCAGCAUCUGAGUACAGCUCCUGUGUCCUUGGCAUUGUGCUCCAGCAGUGCACAAGCACAGCCAUGACAGCACUCUGAAGCAGGAAGGAUGUGGGGUGCUGAAGGGAUUUGGUGUGGCAUGUUCUCUGAGUGGUGGAUGGAGCUUCAGUACCUUCUCUGGUGUCACAUGUGAUUGCAGUGACAAAGAGCUCUUGGAUAAGGUUCCCUAAGCAUGGUGCUUUUGAAACCUGAGCCUGGUUCUUUGCAUUAGUCUCUGAAGCUACCCAAAAACAAAUGCAAAUCUUUUUAAUGUUUGGUAAUAAGCAAUGUGAUCCAAAAUAUCAUGUGUUAAUUCA